GGGCACCACAAGAACGCGUGGAGCAUGUGGCUUAAUUUGACUCAACGCGGGAAAACUUACCGGGUCCGGACACACUGAGGAUUGACAGGCGACUACAAAUAUGCUAGUCCUUUCAUGAUUGUGUGAUAGGUGGUGCAUGGCCGUUCUUAGUUCGUGGAGUGAUCUGUCUGCUUAAUUGCGUUUCAGAUAUAUGGGUUGUUAUCACGUACGCUUUGAUUUCGAAUUGAGACACGCAAGUGUUUUGUUUGAGCAUUGCCGAGUGGACACCCUUUGAAAGCAACGAACGUGACCGCAACCCUUUGUUAUCUCUCUUUUAUUAGUAGAGACCAACUAAGGGGACCGCCAGGGUUGUUAAACCGGAGGAAGGUUGCGGCAAUAACAGGUCUGUGAUGCCCUUAGAUGUUCCGGGCUGCACACGUGCUACAAUGAUUGUUGCAGAAAGCAUCUCACAUUGAUUUGUCCUUCGGAAAAGUAGUAAUACUUGGAAGAGGACCACGUCAUUAAUGUGUUGUUUAUCUUCAUUGAUUUACUUCGCAAUUAACAACGUGCAACCUACCUCGAAAGUACGGUAGGCAAUCAAUUCCAAGUGACAAUCUCCCGCGCACAAAACCAAAUGAAGUGUGUGUUGUUCACUUUUAGUGUUCAACUACAUUUCAUGUGCUCCAUAAAUUCGUGGUCGGGACAGACCAUUGCUAAUUAUUGGUCUCGGUCUCAACUAGGAAUGCCUUGUACGGGUCUUUGGUUCAUCAAACCACCCGGAAUACGU
rnacentral:rRNA from 1 species